UGAAAGGACUGACUUUUUUUGGAAGAUGGGUCUAGUCUUUGAUUUUGCAUGUAAACAGCCAGAGUAAGUUUGCUAGCAGCUACCGCAUGGGAACUCCUGUGACAUGCACCUGUCCAAUGCUGGUGUUUAAGACUGAGGCUAAAGGAAGACCUUCUGCAGCACUCACUCAGAAUGAGAGGAAAAAGAUGGGACAUUUUACUUCAGAAGGUUCAGCCUCAUCUCCAGAGUCCACUUACACUAAGAACAAAGUCUACCUGUCCUG